rnacentral:rRNA from 1 species
GACGAACGCUGGCGGCGUGCCUAAUACAUGCAAGUAGAACGCACAGGAUGCACCGUAGUUUACUACACCGUAUUCUGUGAGUUGCGAACGGGUGAGUAACGCGUAGGUAACCUGCCUGGUAGCGGGGGAUAACUAUUGGAAACGAUAGCUAAUACCGUAUAAGAACAUUUACUGCAUGGUAGAUGUUUAAAAGGUGCAAGAGCAUCACUACCAGAUGGACCUGCGUUGUAUUAGCUAGUUGGUGAGGUAACGGCUCACCAAGGCAACGAUACAUAGCCGACCUGAGAGGGUGAUCGGCCACACUGGGACUGAGACACGGCCCAGACUCCUACGGGAGGCAGCAGUAGGGAAUCUUCGGCAAUGGGGGGAACCCUGACCGAGCAACGCCGCGUGAGUGAAGAAGGUUUUCGGAUCGUAAAGCUCUGUUGUUAAGGAAGAACGUGUGUGAGAGUGGAAAGUUCACA